rnacentral:rRNA from 1 species
UCUACGGGAGGCAGCAGUGAGGAAUAUUGGUCAAUGGACGCAAGUCUGAACCAGCCAUGUCGCGUGAAGGAAGACGGCUCUAUGAGUUGUAAACUGCUUUUGUACGAGGGUAAACGGAGAUACGUGUACCUGUCUGAAAGUAUCGUAUGAAUAAGGAUCGGCUAACUCCGUGCCAGCAGCCGCGGUAAUACGGAGGAUUCAAGCGUUAUCCGGAUUUAUUGGGUUUAAAGGGAGCGUAGGUGGUUUGUUAAGUUAGAGGUGAAAGCAUGCGGCUCAACUGUAAAAUUGCCAUUGAUACUGGUCGUCUAGAGUACAGUUGCGGUAGGCGGAAUGUGUGGUGUAGCGGUGAAAUGCGUAGAGAUCACAAAGAACACCGAUUGCGAAGGCAGCUUACUAAACUGCUUCUGACAUUGAGGCACGAAAGCGUGGGGAGCAAACAGGAUUAGAUACCCCAGUAGUC